CCAACAAGAAAGAACCUGACAAGGAACGUCACGGGUGCCGGACUGUGUACACAGCGGAUGGCAACGAAAGUGCUCCAGUGGAUCCAUAGUCUGUAAGGGUUCAGAACAGCAAUGCCGCGCCCCCGAGGAGUGGAAGCACCCUCGCCUUAGCGGCUGGAAGGCUGGCGCUGUCUGUGCAGGUGGCGACUGGUGGUGACCUUGCCUUUCGCGCUGCGUGGGAACGUGAUGGCCGCAGUGCUUUUAUUUUUCUAACUCUCUGUGAUAACCUUGGGCUGGCCGCUUUGUACUGGAAGCUCAAGGCUAAAUAAAUAAGCUCAUAUCUUUGA